CGCACAAGCGGUGGAGCAUGUGGUUUAAUUCGACGCAACGCGCAGAACCUUACCAGCCCUUGACAUCCCGGUCGCGGACUCCAGAGACGGAGUUCUUCAGUUCGGCUGGACCGGAGACAGGUGCUGCAUGGCUGUCGUCAGCUCGUGUCGUGAGAUGUUGGGUUAAGUCCCGCAACGAGCGCAACCCCCGUCCUUAGUUGCUACCAUUUAGUUGAGCACUCUAAGGAGACUGCCGGUGAUAAGCCGCGAGGAAGGUGGGGAUGACGUCAAGUCCUCAUGGCCCUUACGGGCUGGGCUACACACGUGCUACAAUGGCGGUGACAAUGGGAUGCUAAGGGGCGACCCUUUCAAAUCUUAAAAAGCCGCUCAGUUCGGAUUGGGCUCUUGCAACUCGAGCCCAUGAAGAUGGAAUNCUAGUAAUCGUGGAUNANNACCCCACGGUGAAUACNUUNCCCGGCCU
rnacentral:rRNA from 1 species